CCUACGGGUGGCUGCAGUAGGGAAUCUUUCACAAUGGGCGGGAGCCUGAACCAGCCAAGUCGCGUGAGGGAAGACGGUCCUAUGGAUUGUAAACCUCUUUAGGCGGGGAGCAAUGCCGGGCACGCGUGCCCGGAGGGAGAGUACCCGCAGAAUAAGCAUCGGCUAACUCCGUGCCAGCAGCCGCGGUAAUACGGAGGAUGCGAGCGUUAUCCGGAUUUAUUGGGUUUAAAGGGUGCGUAGGCGGUAUUUUAAGUUAGUGGUAAAACGUCGGGGCUUCACCUUGAUUGGCCAUUAAAACUGGAGUACUAGAGUACAGACGAGGUAGGCGGAAUAAGUUAAGUAGCGGUGAAAUGCUUAGAUAUAACUUAGAACCCCGAUAGCGAAGGCAGCUUACCAGACUGUUACUGACGCUGAAGCACGAGAGCGUGGGUAGCGAACAGGAUUAGAUACCCCGGUAGUC
rnacentral:rRNA from 1 species